rnacentral:rRNA from 1 species
AUUGAACGCUGGCGGCAUGCCUUACACAUGCAAGUCGAACGGUAACAGGUCUUCGGAUGCUGACGAGUGGCGGACGGGUGAGUAAUACAUCGGAACGUGCCCAGACGUGGGGGAUAACGAGGCGAAAGCUUUGCUAAUACCGCAUACGAUCUAAGGAUGAAAGCAGGGGACCGCAAGGCCUUGUGCGUUUGGAGCGGCCGAUGGCAGAUUAGGUAGUUGGUGGGAUAAAAGCUUACCAAGCCGACGAUCUGUAGCUGGUCUGAGAGGACGACCAGCCACACUGGGACUGAGACACGGCCCAGACUCCUACGGGAGGCAGCAGUGGGGAAUUUUGGACAAUGGGCGAAAGCCUGAUCCAGCAAUGCCGCGUGCAGGAUGAAGGCCUUCGGGUUGUAAACUGCUUUUGUACGGAACGAAAAGGCUCUGGCUAAUACCUGGGGCACAUGACGGUACCGUAAGAAUAAGCACCGGCUAACUACGU